UUGCGUGCGCGGCUGACCUAUUUUUUUCAAACCCCAUACGUAAAUGACUGAAUAUACUGUGAGAACGAAAGUUCUUGCUUUUAACUAGAUAACAACUUUCAGCAGUGGAUGUCUAGGCUCGCACAUCGAUGAAGAACGCUGCGAACUGCGAUACGUAAUGCGAAUUGCAGAAUUCAGUGAGUCAUCGAAAUUUUGAACGCAUAUUGCACUUCCGGGUUAUACCUGGAAGUAUGUCUGUAUCAGUGUCCGUAAAUCAAACUUGCGUUUCUUCCUUUCCGUGUAGUCGGUGGAGGAGAGUUGCAGAUGUGAAGUGUCUCGCUGUGGUUGGUGUUUGUUGUUUGCAAUGAAUGCACAGCUUGCGAGUCCUUUUAAAUGGACACGACUUUCUCUUUUUUGUAUGUGCGCGGUGCUGUGCGUGAACGCGGUGGUUUUCGGAUCGCUCGCGGCUGUCGGCGACUUCGGUGAAUGCAUAAUGGAGUGGACCUCGAUUCGCGGUAUGUUGGGCUUCGGCUGGACAAUGUUGCUUAUUGUGUGUCUGUUCCGUGUUCGCCUUGAGGUGUACUGGUGGCUGUGGGAUUGAACUGGUUACUGUUGUUAGUAGUGUGUGUGGCACGUUGUCGUGGAUGCAUCUGUCUUUUUG
rnacentral:rRNA from 1 species